AACGUAGGGGGCCAGCGUUGCUCGGAAUUACUGGGCGUAAAGGGUUCGUAGGCGGUGCGGCAAGUCGGGAGUGAAAUCUCUGGGCUUAACCCAGAGGCUGCUUCUGAAACUGCCGUGCUCGAGUGCGGGAGAGGCGAGUGGAAUUGCAGGUGUAGCGGUGAAAUGCGUAGAUAUCUGCAGGAACACCCGUGGCGAAAGCGGCGCGCUGGACCACAACUGACGCUGAGGAACGAAAGCUAGGGGAGCAAACAGG
rnacentral:rRNA from 1 species